rnacentral:rRNA from 1 species
GUGGGGAAUAUUGGACAAUGGGGGGAACCCUGAUCCAGCCAUGCCGCGUGUGUGAAGAAGGCCUUUUGGUUGUAAAGCACUUUAAGCGAGGAGGAGGCUACCGAGAUUAAUACUCUUGGAUAGUGGACGUUACUCGCAGAAUAAGCACCGGCUAACUCUGUGCCAGCAGCCGCGGUAAUACAGAGGGUGCAAGCGUUAAUCGGAUUUACUGGGCGUAAAGCGCGCGUAGGUGGCCAAUUAAGUCAAAUGUGAAAUCCCCGAGCUUAACUUGGGAAUUGCAUUCGAUACUGGUUAGCUAGAGUAUGGGAGAGGAUGGUAGAAUUCCAGGUGUAGCGGUGAAAUGCGUAGAGAUCUGGAGGAAUACCGAUGGCGAAGGCAGCCAUCUGGCCUAAUACUGACACUGAGGUGCGAAAGCAUGGGGAGCAAACAGGAUUAGAAACCCGUGUAGUCC